rnacentral:misc_RNA from 1 species
GAUGAAGAACGUAGCGAAAUGCGAUACGUAAUGUGAAUUGCAGAAUUCAGUGAAUCAUCGAAUCUUUGAACGCAUAUUGCGCUCUCUGGUAUUCCGGAGAGCAUGCUUGUUUGAGUAUCAGUAAACACCUCAACUCCCUUUUCUUUUUUGAAAUCGGAGCUGGACUUGAGUGAUCCCAACGCUUUCUUCCAAGAAAGUGGCGGGUUGCUUGAAAUGCAGGUGCAGCUGAACUUUUCUCUGAGCUAUAAGCAUAUCUAUUUAGUCUGCCUAAAAAACAGAUUAUUACCUUUGCUGCAGCUAACAUAAAGGAGAUUAGUUCUUGUGCUGACUGAUGCAGGAUUCACAAAGACAGGCUUCGGCCGACUUUGUAAACUCGAUCUCAAAUCAAGUAAGACUACCCGCUGAACUUAAGCAUAUCAAUAAGCGGAGGA